rnacentral:rRNA from 1 species
GACAGAGGUGCCGAGCGUUAGGCGGAAUCACUGGGCUUAAAGCGUGUGUAGGCGGAUCGUUCAGUGUCUUGUGAAAUCCCACGGCUCAACCGUGGAACUGCUGGGCAUACUGGCGAUCUUGAGCGACCUAGGGGCAGAUGGAACAGGCGGUGGAGCGGUGAAAUGCGUAGAUAUCGCCUGGAACGCCGAAGGUGAAAACAGGCAACUGGGGAUGCACCGACGCUGAGACACGAAAGCCAGGGGAGCGAACGGG